rnacentral:rRNA from 1 species
ACUCAAAGGAAUAGACGGGGGCCCGCACAAGCAGUGGAGUAUGUGGAUUAAUUCGACGCAACGCGAAGAACCUUACCAAGGUUUGACAUCUCAAGGACCCGGUGGAAACAUCGGGGUGCCUUUCGGGGAACUUGAAGACAGGUGGUGCAUGGUUGUCGUCAGCUCGUGUCGUGAGAUGUUGGGUUAAGUCCCGCAACGAGCGCAACCCUUACGGUUAGUUGCUACGCAAGAGCACUCUAGCCGGACUGCCGUUGACAAAACGGAGGAAGGUGGGGACGACGUCAAAUCAUCAUGCCCCUUAUAUCUUGGGCUUCACACGUACUACAAUGGCGGUAGACAACGCGCAGCGACCAUGCGAGUGGAAGCGAAUCGCUAAAAAGCCGCCUCAGUUCGGAUCGCAGGCUGAAACCCGCCUGCGUGAAGUCGGAAUUGCUAGUAAUCGCGGAUCAGCAUGCCGCGGUGAAUACGUUCCCGGGCCUUGUACACACCGCCCGU